rnacentral:rRNA from 1 species
AGAGUUUGAUCCUGGCUCAGGAUGAACGCUGGCGGCGUGCCUAAUACAUGCAAGUCGAACGGAGAUUGUAGCAAUACGGUCUUAGUGGCGAACGGGUGAGUAACGCGUUGGUAACCUGCCCCGAAGCGUGGGAUAACGGUCCGAAAGGACCACUAAUACCACAUGUGAUCCCGAGGAAUAGAUACUUGGGAUGAAAGGAGCAAUUCGCUUCGGGAGGGACCUGCGUCCCAUCAGCUAGUUGGUAGGGUAACGGCCUACCAAGGCGAUGACGGGUAGGGGACCUGAGAGGGUGGCCCCCCACAAUGGAACUGAAACACGGUCCAUACACCUACGGGUGGUAGCAGUAGGGAAUAUUGGUUAAUGUGCGAAAGCGCGAACCAGCAACGCCGCGUGUGCGAUGAAGGCCUUCGGGUCGUAAAGCACUUUUUGCAGGGAAGAGGAAGGACGGUACCUGCAGAAUAAGUCUCGGCUAACUACGUGCCAGCAGCCGCGGUAAAACGUAGGAGACGAGCGUUAUCCGGAUUUACUGGGCGUAAAGCGCGUGCAGGCGGCAUGGCAAGUUGGAUGUGAAAGCUCCCGGCUUAACUGGGAGAGGUCGUUCAAUACUGCCAGGCUUGAGAGUGGUAGAGGGAAGCGGAAUUCCGGGUGUAGUGGUGAAAUGCGUAGAUAUCCGGAGGAACACCAGUGGCGAAAGCGGCUUCCUGGCCCAUUUCUGACGCUCAGACGCGAAAGCUAGGGUAGCAAACGGGAUUAGAGACCCCGGUAGUCCUAGCCGUAAACGAUGUGAACUUGGCGUUGGCGGGUUUAAAUCCGUCAGUGCCGCAGCUAACGCGAUAAGUUCACCGCCUGGGGACUACGGCCGCAAGGUUAAAACUCAAAGGAAUUG